rnacentral:rRNA from 1 species
UACGAAGGGGGCUAGCGUUGCUCGGAAUCACUGGGCGUAAAGCGCGCGUAGGCGGCUUUGUAAGUUAGAGGUGAAAGCCCGGAGCUCAACUCCGGAAUUGCCUUUAAGACUGCAUCGCUAGAAUCAUGGAGAGGUGAGUGGAAUUCCGAGUGUAGAGGUGAAAUUCGUAGAUAUUCGGAAGAACACCAGUGGCGAAGGCGACUCACUGGACAUGUAUUGACGCUGAGGUGCGAAAGCGUGGGGGAGCAAACAGG